rnacentral:rRNA from 1 species
UCUUCCCCUUCGGGGGACAAAGUGACAGGUGGUGCAUGGUUGUCGUCAGCUCGUGUCGUGAGAUGUUGGGUUAAGUCCCGCAACGAGCGCAACCCUUAAGCUUAGUUGCCAGCAUUAAGUUGGGCACUCUAAGUUGACUGCCGGUGACAAACCGGAGGAAGGUGGGGAUGACGUCAAAUCAUCAUGCCCCUUAUGAUUUGGGCUACACACGUGCUACAAUGGACAAUACAAAGGGCAGCUAAACCGCGAGGUCAUGCAAAUCCCAUAAAGUUGUUCUCAGUUCGGAUUGUAGUCUGCAACUCGACUACAUGAAGCUGGAAUCGCUAGUAAUCGUAGAUCAGCAUGUUACGGUGAAUACGUUCCCGGGUCUUGUACACACCGCCCGUCACACCACGAGAGUCUGUAACACCCGAAGCCGGUGGAGUAACCAUUUAUGGAGCUAGCCGUCGAAGGUGGGACAAAUGAUUGGGGUGAAGUCGUAACAAGGUAGCCGUAUCGGAA